UAGGGAAUCUUCGGCAAUGGACGAAAGUCUGACCGAGCAACGCCGCGUGAGUGAAGAAGGUUUUCGGAUCGUAAAACUCUGUUGGUAGAGAAAAACGUUGGUGAGAGUGGAAAGCUCAUCAAGUGACGGUAACUACCCAGAAAGGGACGGCUAACUACGUGCCAC
rnacentral:rRNA from 1 species